GAGCAGCUACCUCCAAUUUUUUUAAUGAAAACAAUGCAAUGCAAUUAAAGAAUCAAUGGCUACCUAAUAUUCCCUUACCUUUUGAAUUUAAUCAUAUAGCCCCCACCCAAUUUUUUUUAAAAACCUAAUAAAUACCCUACCACAGCCCACAGUUAACACCUCCAAAAAUUCCUACCACAUCCUCAAAUGACUACCUCAUCCAAAACAAAAAUACCCACGGCUAGUUCACGGCGUGAGAGAUAGAAAGAAAGAAUCAAUCCGCGGUCAAAGCUCGAGUUUAAUCUACUAUAAUGACUUAUUUUUUACAGGUUCUUUAUUCGAAUCUUUAGGAAAUUUAACAUUAGUAUUAAUUUAAAGUAUAUUUUAGAGUUUUAAAAUUAAAGUCUCAAUUAUAUGAUCGCAUUAAUUAUAUUUUUUAGGAUGUAUUGAGCAUGAAUUACAUAUUAUUUGUAAUUGUUCGUAUUUGUUCUAAACUAAAUUAGCUCCUCAAGCAUGUAGUUGAUCGUGUGAUUUAUGAUUAAUUUGUGGUAGCCGGUCGUGAUUCACGAUCGGCUACCUACAAGCGUUGAUCGGCUACUUCUUGAUUACUUGUUAAUUUUUAUAAUUUUAUUGCCGAUCGGCUACCUCUUGAUUUGUUGUUAAUUUUUAUAAUUCUAUUGAUUGAUAGUGAUCUAAUUUAUGAAUUUAGUAUUCAUAAUUAAUCGUGAUUUCAUACUUAUUUAAUUAUGAAUUGUUUUCUUAUGAUAAUUAAUCAUGACUUCAUAAUUAAUCGUGGAAUUUAUAUUAUUUUCUUUCGAUAAUUCAUAAUAAUAGUGGAUUAAUAAUUUAUAAUAAUCAUGACAUUUGAUAAUUAAUCGUAGCUUCGUACUAGAAUUUAAUUAUGAAUUGUUUUCUUUUGAUAAUUAAUUGUGGUGAUGAAGAGUAAACUCUGCAUCAAUUAUACGCAAUUAACAUGGCUGAAAUCUUUCUUUUAUAUUAUUAUUAUUGACACAAUUAUUACUAUUAUUUCAAACAUUUUGUGUAGCGCUGACUUGACAGGGCUGACCUUAUCAAUCGAGGAUUAUCUUGGCAGUUCAACGACUCAGCUCCAAGCUUAAGACUCAUGUAAUAAGGGCUUAGGCCCAAUAUUUAAAUUAAUGGGCCUCAGGGGUCAAAUGGGCUCAAGUGCCCUAGUUUUACUCUUAUGGCUAUAAAUAGGACAUUUUAUUAUUAGUUUAGGGGACUUUGGACUCAUUUUCUCACCAUGUAAAUUGUAAACACAAAAAGUAUAGUGAAAAACCUCAAAAACCCACCGUGGAUGUAGAUCUAAUGAUCGAACCACGUAAAUCCUCGUCAUUUAUCGCUUUAUAGUUAGGUGUUGAUUUUGAAUUCAUCAACUAUUACUUUUACCCUUUAGGUGUGUCUCCUGAUGAUGAUCACUGAUCUUGUGAAAAUAUGAAACACCCAAUAGUUGCCCCGAGGCAAUAAAUAAGUGAUGGAAUUCAUCCAUCGGAUCCUACAUCUAUCUUCACUAAUGACCCAAGGUUCUCCUACCUUAACAUGUGAAGAUAUUUAGGCAGCGUAAGAAACAAUUGAUCAUGUUGACCGUAUAUCAUCUCAAUCUCCUGAUUUCGUGCCCGCAAAUCAGCAUCAUACUUGAUGCGCACACCGAAUUCACGUUGUAGCUCGUUAACAAUUACCUUGAGCUUCAUGAUCUCUGUCUCAUCAUGAGUUUAUGACAAACUGACUAUGAAAUUAAUAGGCCCAUCCAACAUUUAUGACAAACUCAAGCUGCAAACUCACUCAAUGUAAAUCUUAUUUGCCCAUCAUUCGUAUCUUCAGUAGCAUUCGAAUCGGUUUCGUCUUCACCCACCUCAUCUUCAUCCACGGGUAAGCCUGAUGAUCUCCAUGUGCGGCUGCACCGUGUUCCUAAGGUAUCAUGGACAGCGAAGCAAUGUUCAACUACUCUUCAUCACGCGCUGCGGUUUGUGGUUGAUCCUAGUCUCCCCAGAAUUGUGGUGUAGUGUGUUGUCAAUCUUGGACACCCGCGUGAAUUUGUUGUUGAUCCUAGGUGUCCAGGACUGUGAUGUAGUGAUCUGCCAAGAAGCAGUAUUUUGCUUACCUUGUUUGCCAUCAGCCAACCAAUUCAGACCGACAUAUCUCUGAAUUACUUCCAACCCCUUCAUCAACCUGCUGUGAAGAUUGUGAAUCAUACCUAUACUCUCAAGACCGAGGGCAUUUAUACGAUGGGACGUAGACUUUUUGUCUCGACUGUUCCACUACAAGACCUAAUUCAAUAUGUCGUGAUUCAACAUAUAUACACUACAUGAUUGUUGUGCAAUAUCUUCAUCCCCACAAAUUGGAUAUUUUUUAAUCUACCCGGCUAAUUCUUUGAUAGAUAAAAUACCUUGUAGGUAGAUGAUCUCGGGCAAUACAUAGUUAAUUUGGUAUUCCAAGUUAAUAAUAUCAACAUUUAAAAUUGCAACAACCGUUGCAGCCCUACCAACGUAGUUACAGUCCUCAUAUUCACCCAUGUAUCUCACAAUGACGUUUUUUUAGGAAAUUUAUCUAUCUACAAAUAAAAUAAAGAGAAAGAUAAAUAUUAAAAUACGUCAUUACAACCGAUGUAAUUUCUGACUGACUACCCAGUAUCCCGACCAAAUUGAAGUAUAGUUUAUUUAAUUUCAUGACCAUCUAAAUCAUUUCUAUAAACAUGUUCGCCAAAAUAAUUUAAUUACACGAAAACACCAACCCUUUUGUUUAUCACUAAUUCAAUAAAAUAAAAUAAAAUAAAAAGAUAAAAAUGCUCAACAUUUCAAUAAUUCAAUAUUUCAAAAUUGAUGUUCAUUCAAUUUAAACUAUAAUAUCGAUAGUUACAUCCUUUUUUUAGUAGAACUCUUGACUCAAAAUGCAAUGUGCUUUUCCCAAAUAUAUAAUUUUCAAAAUGUAGUAAAUUAUUGUCAAUUGAUUUUGUGUUUGCGUUUGAGUUGGAUUGCCAAUGUUUGAGUUGCUUUAAAUUUAUCAAAGUGUUGAACAUGAAUUAUUACAUAGCUCACAUUGUAGUAAAUUUGGCAAUACAUUCAUGUGAAUUUAAAUCAUUGCAUGCAUGCAAAAUAAAUACCACGAAUUAGGGUUGUAAUCGAAUCGAAGCGAAGCGAAUAUCACCAUAUUCGAUUCGUAUUCGUGAAAUGAUACUAAUAUUCGAUUCGUGAUUCAAUUCGACUUCGAAUAUUAAAUUCAAUUCGAUAUUCGAUUCGUUGCUAUUUUUAAAUUAUUCGAUUUGAUUCGAGUAUUCGAUUCGAAUAUUCGAUUAAAGUAUUCGACUUGUAUUCUAUACUAUUCGAUUCAAAAUUCUGAGAGGGCUGCAGCAGACGGAGAGGGCGAUUGGCGGCGGGUGACGAGCCUAGCAGACGGAGAGGGCGACGUUGCGGCGAGGUGUUGGCGACUGGCGGCGGGCGACGAGCGAUG
rnacentral:lncRNA from 1 species